rnacentral:tRNA from 1 species
ACUCGGAUAGCUCAGAAGGAAGAGCAGUUGACUUGCAAUCAUAAGGUCCCGGGUUCGAGUCCCGGUCUGAGCU